AAAAGAUUUCAAAAUAUUAAUGCAAGCACAGGUGAUAUACACUUUCCCUUACAAACUCCACACAUAUAUACGGCAAUAGCAAAAGUGUGAAACUACAUUCACCACAACCACAGGUGCUCAGUCACUACAACACAGGUGCUCACAACAUAAUACACCGGCCUGUUACAUUUUGUCAAUGCCAAACCUUUCUUGUUCAGGUUGUUCAUUGUUAAUUAAUGUACGUCCCCCCUCACAAUCUCACAUCAUCUACCGACCAGAUGAAGAAGUACGCAUAUAUGUUCACAUUAGAAGGGAUUCUGAUUUCCAGGAAAUUAAAUGGAGUAUGUCUGCCCAUCAGGUAUGUACGUCUUCAUCGUUGCUCACGGUCACACUCCAUUCAUCAGUUCAUCAAGAAAGCAAACAAGCUAGUUCAAUUAUAUUGCCAUUCUAAAGUACGGUCUAAAACUUGAAGUACCAAUUUUACUCACAGUUUCCACAAAAUCACAACUGUCAUCCCAAUCCUAAAUCUAGAAUUGGCCUAAACUUGUGACCGUAUCGACUUCACAGAACAAAUUAUAAUUCCAUUGUCCUACUGAAAACACUGAUCUCUCUUUUAUAAUAAUACAAGUCCAUAUCAGUAACUGAUGUCUGAUAAGAUGAAUCCGUUCACGUGUUCAUAUAUAAAACAGAGAUCAUGAUGGUCUUAAAAGAAGCAUGAAGUUCUAGGGGGGAAAAAAAAGCAUGAAGAGUCAAACUGCACAUCGUCAUAGUCACAUAGCUUGAAGUCAAGCUUGGCUCUCAUCUGAACCCAAGCUUGAGCUCACACUCACUUCGUCCGGAGGCACAAUAUUGCCCAUUUCAGCUUCAUUCACAACUUGUGGUUGGGGAUGUGGAGGCACAAUAUUGCCCAUUUCAGCUUCAUUCACAACUUGUGGUUGGGGAUGUGGAUUUGUCUCUUCCCUCAGCAUCCGACGAAUGCAUAGACAAAGCACAAUGAUUAACAGAGGGGCACACACCGCAACCACCACAAACCACACUGGCGUUGUGUGCUUUCGUUUGAAAGACUGGCUUCCAAAGGACUCGAAUGGGUGGGUUGGUUCUGCCAUAACUUACGUCUCAAUGAUUUCCAGGAAAAACUUACGUCUCAAUUCCCACUCCUUCCAAACUGGCUGAAACAACAGUUAAAUGUUUGUUACUAAUUCAAUCAGGCCAAGUGGCCAACAUACACCUAGCAAAGUAAUAAGACUAACACUAACAUAGAAUUCCAACAACAUGACAAACCAUAUGCAGUGUUCGUAGAGAUCAAUGUGAUUCUAAAUAUAUAAAUAAAAAGGAAAGUGCUGUAGAAUUAUAAAAACAUGACAAACCAUACAAAUGUGGUCUAUAAAGAGGGAUCAUAUGUAAACCCGGGAAAUGACACCAAAACUGGUGGGUGAUUUAGCUAGAAGCUCUAAUACGAUUCCUUAUACCAAUUCAAGUUAGGCUAAUUCAGAUUUGUACAAGGUUGAAAUCCCAUUGAAGAACCACAGAAAGCAUAAGGUUCAAAGUUAUAAGGACCAGUACUUGAUCCACAACAAGUCUUGAAUGGCAUUUUAAAUGCUUAUCCUUGUUUAUUCUUAAUAAUUUUUCGAUAGGUGUUCCAGUGAUUGUCAUAGGAAAUGACAGUUCCAGGAUAUUUGUUUCUGAGUUGUUGGAUCUUAGAUUGUAAAAGGAGAUUGUGUGUGUGUAGCUUUGCUUGUUUGCGCUUGCGACCAAGAUUAUUUCUAAGUCUCUAACUCUAACACAGCAGCAGCGCAAGAUAUUGAACCAAUUAAGGCAGGGGAUACAGAGAACCCCCAACAAUAAUCAUUUGCUCCAAUCGCACCAACACAAAACAAAGCAUCAUCAACUAUAACCAGUGCUCUACAUUGACCAUUUAACAUCUUUCUAUUAUUCUUCCCUUGACAAAUCACAUCCAUGGGCCAUGACUCUAAGAAUGAAUUUGCUGAACCACACAAGUUCAUUAUUAGUAGACUGAUGGAGGUGUAACAGUAAAACCACUGAGUGUUAUAUAUAUAUUAUUCUUCUUAAUUGUCUAGCUAGAAGCUCUAAUUUGAUUCCUUUACCAAUUAAAGUUAGACUAAUUCAGAUUUGUAAGUAUGCUAAAUGAAUCUUAUCAAAAGAAUUAGAAUCCAUGAUCGAUUUAUGCAAAAAUCAUAUAUACACAAUCAUUUGGGGUAUAUAAAUGCUAUAAUUUCUAGAUAAAAAAAAUUGAAAUUUUAGAGAAGAAAUCCAAGUAAGAGAAGACCUAAAACAAGAGGGAGAGCAGAGAGAGUACCUUAGAGAAAAUUAGGGUUUGUUUGAGACUUUGAGAGUGAGAGAUCCAGAAAGAUUCACAAAGCAGCUUCUUU
rnacentral:lncRNA from 1 species